rfam:Amazona aestiva scaffold_2029, whole genome shotgun sequence.
AAGGUCCUAGCUUAAUGAAAGUGUCUGGGUUGCAUUCAGGAGAUGUAGGUUAGCGUCCUACGGAUCUUA